rnacentral:rRNA from 1 species
GGCAGCAGCAUUACCGUCUGCUGUAGCCUGAUCUUAGAAACUGAGCAGGGCUGGGCCUGGUCAGUACUGGAAUGGGAGACCUCCAAGGAAAACCAGGUGUUUUUUUCA